rnacentral:lncRNA from 12 species
UUAUUUGGUUUAAGUUUAAUUAAAUUAAUUAAGUUUAAUUAAUCCCUUCCCCAUUUUUUUCAAUUUUUCCCAAUUUCUCCCCAAAAUUUUCCCGUUUUUUCCCAUUUUCCCCAUUUUUUUCCAUUUCCCCCCAUUUUUUCCUUUUUUCAAUUUUUUCCAUUUUCCCAUCUCCCCCCAUUUUUUGCCAUUUCCCCUUUUUUACUUUUUAUCUUUUCCCCCAAUUUUCCCCCAUUUUUCCUUUUUCUCCGAAUUUUUCUCCAAAUUUUCUCAAUUUUUUCCCAUUUCUCCCAUUUUUCCCCCAUUUUUCCCUUUUAUUCCCAUUUUCCCCAUUUUUUUAAUUUUUCCUAUUUUUCCCUUUUACCUUUUCUCCCAAUUUUCCCUCAUUUCCCUCCUUUUUUCCUUUUUACCUUCCCCCACAUUUUUUCCACAUUUCCCCCAUUUUCCCCACUAUUUUCCCAUUUAUUCCCAUUUUCCCCCUAUUCCCCCCAUUUUUUCAUUUCCCCAUUUUUUCAUUUCCCCAUUUUUUCAUUUCCCCAUUUUCUUCCACUUUCCCCCAUUUUAUUCCCAUUUCUCCCAUUUCCCCCAUUCCCCAUUUCCCCCCUUUUUUCCUUUUUACCUUUUCCCCCCAUCAGCCCCAUUUGGGGUUCGGGGGUUUGGCCCCAGUCUCAUUUU